AUACGUAGGGGGCAAGCGUUAUCCGGAUUUACUGGGUGUAAAGGGAGCGUAGGCGGUCCGAUAAGUCUGGUGUGAAAGCCCGGGGCUCAACCCCGGGACUGCAUUGGAAACUAUCGGACUUGAGUGUCGGAGAGGUAAGUGGAAUUCCUAGUGUAGCGGUGAAAUGCGUAGAUAUUAGGAGGAACACCAGUGGCGAAGGCGACUUACUGGACGAUAACUGACGCUGAGGCUCGAAAGCGUGGGGAGC
rnacentral:rRNA from 1 species